AGGGAAGCCAGCUGUUCAUAAUGUGGGGAGUCACGCUGAUUGUUUUCUCAUGUGGGAUUGUGGAUCAGGUGGUAUCACAUGGAAUUAAAGUAGACUGCCAGGAAUGUAAUGAUGAUCCUUCU